GCGGGCAGACGGGUGAUCGCUGCCGGUUUCGGCCGGGAGAGGAAAGUCCGAACUCCGCAGGGCAAUGUGCCUCGUAGCGCGAGGACCCGUAAGGGAUGGAAAGUGCCACAGAAAACAUACCGCCGGGAGAGAAAUUCGGGGAAGGGGAAAUUCGGGGUCAGACCACUGAAUUCCCUUUUUCCAGUUCAAGUAAGGGUGAAAAGGUGCGGUAAGAGCGCACCAGCGGUCCGGAGACGGAUCGGCUUGGUAAACCCCACACGGAGCAAGGCCAAAUAGGGAAACGUUGAACGGCCCGUUCAGUUUCCGGGUAGGCCGCUUGAGUUUCGGGGAAACCUGAGACCUAGAUGAAUGAUCGCCACCUGGGUUGCGAGAUUUGCGACCCGGGUACAGAAUUCGGCUUAUAGUCUGCCUGCCGAU
rnacentral:RNase_P_RNA from 2 species